rnacentral:rRNA from 1 species
UUCCAGACUCCUACGGGAGGCAGCAGUCGGGAAUAUUGCGCAAUGGAGGAAACUCUGACGCAGUGACGCCGCGUGCAGGAAGAAGGUUUUCGGAUUGUAAACUGCUUUAGACAGGGAAGAAACAAGACAGUACCUGUAGAAUAAGCCCCGGCUAACUACGUGCCAGCAGCCGCGGUAAUACGUAGGGGGCAAGCGUUAUCCGGAUUUACUGGGUGUAAAGGGAGCGUAGACGGCUGUGCAAGCCAGAUGUGAAAGCCCGGGGCUCAACCCCGGGACUGCAUUUGGAACUGUGUAGCUGGAGUGUCGGAGAGGCAGGCGGAAUUCCUAGUGUAGCGGUGAAAUGCGUAGAUAUUAGGAGGAACACCAGUGGCGAAGGCGGCCUGCUGGACGAUGACUGACGUUGAGGCUCGAAAGCGUGGGGAGCAAACAGGAUUAGAUACCCGAGUAGCG